GGUCUUGGAUGGGCUCACGGCCUAUCAGCUUGUUGGUGAGGUAAUGGCUUACCAAGGCGACGACGGGUAGCCGGCCUGAGAGGGUGACCGGCCACACUGGGACUGAGACACGGCCCAGACUCCUACGGGAGGCAGCAGUGGGGAAUAUUGCACAAUGGGCGAAAGCCUGAUGCAGCGACGCCGCGUGAGGGAUGACGGCCUUCGGGUUGUAAACCUCUUUCAGCAGGGAAGAAGCCACAAGUGACGGUACCUGCAGAAGAAGCGCCGGCUAACUACGUGCCAGCAGCCGCGGUAAUACGUAGGGCGCAAGCGUUGUCCGGAAUUAUUGGGCGUAAAGAGCUCGUAGGCGGUUUGUCGCGUCUGCUGUGAAAGCCCGGGGCUUAACCCCGGGUGUGCAGUGGGUACGGGCAGACUAGAGUGCAGUAGGGGAGACUGGAAUUCCUGGUGUAGCGGUGGAAUGCGCAGAUAUCAGGAGGAACACCGAUGGCGAAGGCAGGUCUCUGGGCUGUUACUGACGCUGAGGAGCGAAAGCAUGGGGAGCGAACAGGAUUAGAUACCCUGGUAGUCCAUGCCGUAAACGUUGGGCACUAGGUGUGGGGGACAUUCCACGUUUUCCGCGCCGUAGCUAACGC
rnacentral:rRNA from 1 species